rnacentral:rRNA from 1 species
UACGUAGGGGGCAAGCGUUGUCCGGAUUUAUUGGGCGUAAAGAGCGUGUAGGCGGCUAGGUAGGUCCGUUGUGAAAACUCGAGGCUCAACCUCGAGACGUCGAUGGAAACCAUCUAGCUAGAGUCCGGAAGAGGAGAGUGGAAUUCCUGGUGUAGCGGUGAAAUGCGCAGAUAUCAGGAAGAACACCCGUGGCGAAGGCGGCUCUCUAGUACGGUACUGACGCUGAGACGCGAAAGCGUGGGGAGCGAACAGG